rnacentral:lncRNA from 1 species
UGACAAAAGGGUACAGCUGAGCUCUGGAUCCCUUCAGAUCUCUGCAAAAUACCUCAUCAGAGAGAAGCAGCAGCCCCAUUGUUGGUGAUAAAGCUGUGGAAACGUUUCCAAGAGCCCAAUUUCAGUUUGCCUUAAGGUCUGAAGAGAGUUUGAGCAAAUGCAGAAGUAUUCUCCUGAACAUGGCACCAUUAUGGAGCAGCAAACCACAGUAAUUUGACAACUUUAGUGGUCAGAGAACUCUGAAGCCUAAAGAGAAUAAAGAUCACAGAAAUCGGCUUUCCUUGAACUCC